GGGUCAAAAAGGAGAAGGAAGAAGAGAUUCGGAAGAUGUCAAAGAAAAAGGAAGUUGAGCUACGGGCGCUUAAAAAUAAAAAUGUCGACGAAACAGAAAAAAAAUCGAGACGAAUCGAAGAGCUCGAAAAAACGGUAGAGGAGAUGGAGGUAGCAAACGUGGCGAGGGAUGAAGAGUUGCAAAAUUUGAAGAAGGGGAAGAAUGAAGAGCUUCAGAAGGCGUUGAG
rnacentral:lncRNA from 1 species